AUCACUUCUUGGCCUUUUGGCUAAGAUCAAGUGUAGUAUCUGUUCUUAUCAGUUUAAUAUCUGAUAUGUCCUCUAUCUGAGGACAAUAUAUUAAAAGGAUUUUUGGAGCUUGAAGUUGGAAUAGGAGCUUACUCCAUCCACUCCAUGCAUCAACCUGGUAUUGUAGUACUUCCAGGAAUGGUGCACCCUCU
rnacentral:snRNA from 1 species